rnacentral:rRNA from 1 species
CGUAGGGGGCAAGCGUUGUCCGGAAUCAUUGGGCGUAAAGCGCGUGUAGGCGGCUGAGUAAGUCUGCUCUGAAAGCCCGGGGGCUCAACCCCCGGGAGGCGGGUGGAAACUGCUCAGCUCGAGUCCGGAAGAGGAGUGUGGAAUUCCUGGUGUAGCGGUGAAAUGCGCAGAUAUCAGGAGGAACACCAAUGGCGAAGGCAGCACUCUGGGACGGUACUGACGCUGAGACGCGAAAGCGUAGGGAGCAAACAGGAUUAGAUACCCUGGUAGUCCACGCCGUAAACGAUGGGCACUAGGUGUGGGGGGUGUCGACUCCCUCCGUGCCGAAGCUAACGCAUUAAGUGCCCCGCCUGGGGAGUACGGCCGCAAGGCUA